rnacentral:misc_RNA from 1 species
GAGAGAUUGUUGUGCCUUCCUGUUUUGGUUUUGCAACAGUAAAACAUUUGAUAGUGGGUUGGCAAUUCACCAAACAAGACUGGACAAGAAGAACUAAGGUGAAAAAAUGGCAUUGAAGAAAGUCAAACCUGCUUCUCUGUACAUGGAUUUCCCAAUAGGGGACUCCAUUUUUUUGAGCUUCCAUUUCAUCUCUCAUAUCACCCCAGUAGGCUUAAGCUAUUAAGUAUUAUGUCUUUGGAUGGUAUUGAAUCCUUAGUUCUGAAGAUUUGGUAAUCUAGGCAAUAGAGUAAGGGCAUGUCUCACCUUUUUAUAAUAAUUUGAGUUCUGAUUUGAUUUUUAUAGAUGCAUGAAGUGUUAGACAUGUGAUGCAUUUCAU